rnacentral:rRNA from 1 species
UACGGGGGGGGUAAGCGUUGUUCGGAAUUACUGGGCGUAAAGGGCUCGUAGGCGGCCAACUAAGUCAGACGUGAAAUCCCUCAGCUUAACUGGGGAACUGCGUCUGAUACUGGAUGGCUUGGAUUCGGGAGAGGAAUGCGGAAUUCCAGGUGUAGCGGUGAAAUGCGUAGAUAUCUGGAGGAACACCGGUGGCGAAGGCGGCAUCCUGGACCAACACUGACGCUGAUGAGCGAAAGCCAGGGGAGCAAACGGG